CCCCUAGAUGUUCUGGGCCGCACGCGCGCUACACUGAAAAGUUCAACAAGUCUUAACCUUGGCCGAUAGGUCUGGGUAAUCUUUGAACGCUGUUCGUGAUUGGGAUAGACCUUUGCAAUUAUGGGUCUUCAACGAGGAAUUCCUAGUAAACGCAAGUCAUCAGCUUGCAUUGAUUACGUCCCUGCCCUUUGUACACACCGCCCGUCGCACCUACCGAUUGAAUGGUCCGGUGAAAUCUCGGGACGGCGGCUUGGUCGCUUGCGUCCGACUGCUGAAACUUGAUUAAACCAUAUCAUUUAGAGGAAGGUGAAGUCGUANCA
rnacentral:rRNA from 1 species